AUUGAACGCUGGCGGCAUGCCUUACACAUGCAAGUCGAACGGUAACGCGGGGCAACCUGGCGACGAGUGGCGAACGGGUGAGUAAUGCAUCGGAACGUGCCUGGUAGUGGGGGAUAACUGCUCGAAAGAGCAGCUAAUACCGCAUACGACCUGAGGGUGAAAGGGGGGGAUCGCAAGACCUCUCGCUAUCAGAGCGGCCGAUGUCGGAUUAGCUAGUUGGUGGGGUAAAGGCCCACCAAGGCAACGAUCCGUAGCUGGUCUGAGAGGACGACCAGCCACACUGGGACUGAGACACGGCCCAGACUCCUACGGGAGGCAGCAGUGGGGAAUCUUGGACAAUGGGGGAAACCCUGAUCCAGCGAUGCCGCGUGUGUGAAGAAGGCCUUCGGGUUGUAAAGCACUUUAGUUGGGGAAGAAAAGUAAUAAGUAAAUAAUUUAUUGCUCUGACGGUACCCAAAGAAUAAGCACCGGCUAACUCUGUGCCAGCCGCCGCCGUAAUAC
rnacentral:rRNA from 1 species